CCUACGGGUGGCUGCAGUGAGGAAUAUUGGUCAAUGGGCGGAAGCCUGAACCAGCAAAGUAGCGUGCAGGAUGACGGCCCUACGGGUUGUAAACUGCUUUUAUACGGGAAUAACGCGCCUUACGUGUAGGGCUUUGCAUGUACCGUAUGAAUAAGGACCGGCUAAUUCCGUGCAAGCAGCCGCGGUAAUACGGAAGGUCCGGGCGUUAUCCGGAUUUAUUGGGGUUAAAGGGUGCGUAGGCCGCAUGUCAAGCGUGCUGUGAAAUGUCCGGGCUCAACCCGGGCCGUGCAGCGCGAACUGGCGUGCUUGAGUCCGCGGAAAGCAGGCGGAAUUCGUCGUGUAGCGGUGAAAUGCUUAGAUAUGACGAAGAACCCCGAUUGCGAAGGCAGCUUGCUGCAGCGGAACUGACGCUGAUGCUCGAAAGCGCGGGGAUCGAACAGGAUUAGAUACCCUAGUAGUC
rnacentral:rRNA from 1 species